UACAGGGGGUGCAAACGUUGCUCGGAAUCAUUGGGCGUAAAGCGCACGUAGGCGGUUCGUUAUGUCGGAUGUGAAAGCCCUUGGCUUAACCGAGGAAGUGCAUCCGAAACUGGCGAGCUAGAGUACUAAAGAGGAUCGCGGAAUUCCCGGUGUAGAGGUGAAAUUCGUAGAUAUCGGGAGGAACACCGGUGGCGAAGGCGGCGACCUGGGUAGAUACUGACGCUGAGGUGCGAAAGCGUGGGGAGCAAACAGGG
rnacentral:rRNA from 1 species